GAGUUUGAUCCUGGCUCAGAUUGAACGCUGGCGGCAGGCCUAACACAUGCAAGUCGAGCGGUAACAGAAAGAAGCUUGCUUCUUUGCUGACGAGCGGCGGACGGGUGAGUAAAGCCUGGGAAAUUGCCCUGAUGUGGGGGAUAACCAUUGGAAACGAUGGCUAAUACCGCAUAAUGUCUACGGACCAAAGAGGGGGACCUUCGGGCCUCUCGCGUCGGGAUAUGCCCAGGUGGGAUUAGCUAGUUGGUGAGGUAAAGGCUCACCAAGGCGACGAUCUCUAGCUGGUCUGAGAGGAUGAUCAGCCACACUGGAACUGAGACACGGUCCAGACUCCUACGGGAGGCAGCAGUGGGGAAUAUUGCACAAUGGGCGCAAGCCUGAUGCAGCCAUGCCGCGUGUAUGAAGAAGGCCUUCGGGUUGUAAAGCACUUUCAGCAGUGAGGAAGGGUAUAGCUUUAAUAGAGUUAUAUUUUGACGUUAGCUGCAGAAGAAGCACCGCUAAC
rnacentral:rRNA from 1 species